CACCGCGGUUAAACGAGAGGCCCUAGUUGAUAAUACUACGGCGUAAGGGUGGUUACGGAGAGUACAGCGAUAAAGCCUAAUGGCCCUUUGGCCGUCAUACGCUUCUAGGAGUCCGAAGCCCUAUCACACGAAAGUAGCUUUAAUAAAACCCACCUGACCCCACGAAAGCUGAGAAACAAACUGGGAUUAGAUACCCCACUAUGCUCAGCCAUAAACCUAGACGUCCACCUACGAUUAGACGUCCGCCUGGGUACUACGAGCAUCAGCUUGAAACCCAAAGGACCUGACGGUGUCUUAGACCCCCCUAGAGGAGCCUGUUCUAGAACCGAUAACCCCCGUUAAACCUCACCACUUCUAGCCACCCCAGCCUAUAUACCGCCGUCGCCAGCUUACCCUGUGAAGGCAAUAAAAGUAAGCAGAAUGGGCACAACCCAGAACGUCAGGUCGAGGUGUAGCGUACGAAGCGGGAAGAAAUGGGCUACAUUUUCUAUAAUAGAAUACUACGGACACGUAACAUGAAAUAGUGCUUGAAGGAGGAUUUAGAAGUAAAAAGGAAGCAGAGUGUCCUUUUGAACCCGGCUCUAAGACGCGUACACACCGCCCGUCACUCUCCCCUGUCGAAAUGUUAUAAGAGUAAUUAACACCUGAACACAGACAAGGGGAGGCAAGUCGUAACAUGGUAAGUGUACCGGAAGGUGCACUUGGAUAAAACUCAGGGUGUGGCUGAG
rnacentral:rRNA from 1 species